rnacentral:rRNA from 1 species
CAGUCGCCGCGGGAAUACGAAGGGGGCUAGCGUUGUUCGGAUUUACUGGGCGUAAAGCGCACGUAGGCGGAUCGAUCAGUCAGGGGUGAAAUCCCAGAGCUCAACUCUGGAACUGCCUUUGAUACUGUCGAUCUGGAGUAUGGAAGAGGUGAGUGGAAUUCCGAGUGUAGAGGUGAAAUUCGUAGAUAUUCGGAGGAACACCAGUGGCGAAGGCGGCUCACUGGUCCAUUACUGACGCUGAGGUGCGAAAGCGUGGGGAGCAAACAGGAUUAGAUACCCGUGUAGUUCCUGUCUCUUAUAU